rnacentral:lncRNA from 1 species
AUGGGUGUGGUCCUGGAACUGUGGCACCCGUCUGGCAAGGAGAGAAGAGGUCAGUGUCGGCAACGGCUUACCUCGUCUCUGAGCUUCUCGAGUGUGCAGAAGACACAUCCGGGUUCGCUUAAGCUACAGCUGGAAUGGCCGAAUCCUGGGUGUGAACAGAGGCAAGAGUCUGUGAUUGAGAGUGUGCGUCCACAGCCUGCUGUGCGACCUUGGGCAAAUCACUUGACGUCUCUGGGCCUCAGUUGCUCCAUAUGUAAGUUCGAUGUGAGCGCCUAUUACCUUGAAUAAGACGAUAUUGUGGUAAUUUUUGCCCAAUUAUCCGAUCAGUAAAGCAUUUGACAAGCCUGACCUGAUUAACAGGUUACGGAGAGCCUUCUAGCUGUCGGGGGAUGGGUGGAUGGUAGAGGGGCCCAGGGAGAAAAUGGCAGCCCCUGAAACCCGUCCCAUUCCAUCCUCACUGACUGGGCCCCAGCCAGCUUCCCCUCCGCGUGACCCUGUCCCAACCUGCCCUCCACACACAGGACGAUGCUGCUUCACGAAGCUUCUCUGCCUUGGCGGCUUCUCAGC